rnacentral:rRNA from 1 species
GACGAAGGGGGCAAGCGUUGUUCGGAAUUACUGGGCGUAAAGGGCGCGUAGGCGGCUCUUUAAGUCAGGCGUGAAAGCCCUGGGCUCAACCUGGGAAUGGCGCUUGAUACUGGAGGGCUAGAGAGCGGGAGAGGAUGGUGGAAUUCCCAGUGUAGAGGUGAAAUUCGUAGAUAUUGGGAAGGACACCGGUGGCGAAGGCGGCCAUCUGGACCGUAUCUGACGCUGAGGCGCGAAAGCGUGGGGAGCAAAC